UUUCUCUCUUCGCCUGCUGCCGUCCAUGUAAGAUGGGACUUGCUCCUCCUUGCCUUCCACCAUGAUUGUGAGGCUUCCUCAGCCACGUGGAACUAUCCAUAAUGGAUUCCUGGGACAUUUUCAGAUCUCCUUCCAGCUUCCUCUUCGCCCUUUCCAAGUCCGCCCGCAGUUUCUUCUCCUGCUCUAAGGAACCCUCAAGCUGAGAAGACACACAGAAGACCCAGAAGUCCAGCUUUGAAGAAAACCUGGAGAAAGAGAGAGUCACAAAUCAUCUCCAUACUGCAGGAGAUGCAGAAAUGGCAGAAGAUCAAUUUCAGCGUGUUUGGACCAGCAGAUUCCAGGUGAUGGAUAGGCAGCUUCAUUUUAAUAGUCUGUUGGUACAGGGUGACCUGUAGCCUUUCCAGAAGAGGUAAAAUGAAUCCUCCGGUUGUCACCCCCUCCUUCCUCGCUCCAAUUCCAUCAUUAAUCCCCGUUUGAGGAUUUGAGUGCUGCCGAGGACUGACAGACUCCAUGAGGUUCAGCUGCUGCCUGGUACAUGUGGUCACCUGCAGCUUCUUCAGCCCUACAUAUAUUUUGUGCUGUUUUAGACUGCUCUUUCUUCCAUUAAAUGAGAGAUUAGAUCUGAAUGGCCACGUGAUCUUCUGAGUCCCAUCUGUAAGAAUCUGCAUUUCCACGGAAUUGGGGGAGCAAACGUUCUCAAAACAUUCUUAAAUGCAAACCCGCAGGCACAGCAUGUGUCUGUCAACUCCAAGAGCAUUUGGAUGUUCGAAGGGAGAGGAUGUUUGACAUCUAACCCGUCGUGGAAAGAGGAGCCUCUCAAGGAACAUCACGUCUGAAUGCUCGCGGCCUCUGCCUGCCCCGUGGGAUGGUGCUGGAAAUUAUACUCAUAUUUAGAUAGCAUUCUCUGCAAGUGGCUGCUGUUGUCCUUCCAUCGUCAGCACAGGCAGAUGCUGGGAGUACCCACCUUGGGGUGAGGUGGCAAGAGAGGGCCAGCUUGUAUCCGCCUCGUUGUCGUCCUUCCUUCCUGACUUGACUCUCUCCUCUGUGGCCUUCUCAGGAGUGGGAUGUGGUUGUGAGGAGAAUGUGCACUUUACCCCUCACCAGUCCAGAGAGGGGCACAUAGCCCAAACCUCUCCCCUUCCCAGAAACCUGCAAGUCCCCCUGGGUGCGCCUGUGUGAUGAGGCAGGCUCCGAGAGCCACAGGCUGGUGGGCCACUAGGAAGCAGUAAAGGAAGACAUUUUAUGAUUGUAGCUGGAGAUAAUGAAUUGAAAAGCUGGUCUCUGUUUCUGGAAAUGAUGCCAGGAGGCCCUCAAAAUAAACGCCCACCUGUCCUUCAGGUCUCAACACCUGUUGCUCUUGGGACAGAGAUCCCAGGCCCAAAAUAGGCACAGCUGCUAUGGAUGCUCGUCUUGCCCUCCUGGAGCUGAGACUGGGCCAUGUUUGGAAAUAUGUCUCCCUCCAUCCCCUCCUCCCAUCCUCAUUUGGAGCCUUAGGGCUUUAAGACGUGAGCUCUUUCCUCGCUCCCUCUCCCCAGUCUUUCUUGGGUAUCUCUGCUCCUCCCAUCACCUGUUCCUGGGCAUGGCAUAGGCAGUUGGUAAAUGACAGAUGAAUGAAUACAUGUACAAGGAAACACAGAUCUGAAAUUUCUAGCAGCAAAGUUUGGAGCAGGAAGCUCUGGCUGGCCCUGGGCUUUUUGCUAAGGGUGUUCUGGCUUCGCGUGGCAGCACCCCUCCCCACCGGGCCUUUGCCAGGACGCUCGAUCCUCUCUUCGGGCUUCUGAGCAGUGUGAAUUGCAAACAGCCAUGCCCACUCCCCAGGCCAAGAAAACCAAGUUCAUGGCCAGGAUUGCUCACAAAAAAAAAAAAAAAA
ensembl:lncRNA MYHAS myosin heavy chain gene cluster antisense RNA